AGGAAAUUGCCAAGGAUAGGAGCCCAUUGGAAACCAAGGAAGUCAAAGAUCUGUCUCUCUAAUGCUGCCAGCAGCUGCAGCGAGCAGAGGAAGAUGAGCGUGCAGCGCCCCGUGCAGCAGCCCAUGGUGGCGGAGCGCCGCGGCUGCUCCUCGGCUUCCCUCCGCGCUGCCGGGCGAAGCGGGGGCUCACCGCAUCCGGACGGAGCGGCAGCGUCCCCCUCCCCUCCUCCUCGCCGUCCCCCCGCCUCUGCUUUUCCACCUCCUUUGUCGGACGGGUAGCAGCCCCGCGGAGCGCAGC
rnacentral:lncRNA from 1 species